CCUAUGGGUGGCAGCAGUGAGGAAUAUUGCUCAAUGGCCGCAAGGCUGAAGCAGCAACGCCGCGUGAGGGAUGAAGGCUCUAUGGUCUGUAAACCUCUGUAGAGAAGGAAAAAUAACCCAUUAUAUGGGCUUGAUCGUACUUCUAGAGUAAGCCCCGGCUAACUACGUGCCAGCAGCCGCGGUAAUACGUAGGGGGCGAGCGUUGUCCGGAAUGACUGGGUGUAAAGGGUGCUCAGGCGGGUCGAUAAGUCAGAGGUGAAAUUUCACAGCUUAACUGUGAAUGUGCUUUUGAUACUGUCGGUCUAGAGUUCAGAAGAGGGCAAUGGAAUUCGUGGUGUAGCGGUGAAAUGCGUAGAUAUCAAGAAGAACACCAGUGGCGAAGGCGGUUGCCUGGUCUGUAACUGACGCUCAAGCACGAAAGCGUGGGGAUCAAACA
rnacentral:rRNA from 1 species